UUGUAGUGUUGGUAGGACAGGACACAGCCCUGAACCUGUCCCAGUAUCUGUCCCUAACACCAUGUCCCUGUUCUCCAUUGUAGUGUUGGUAAGGUAGGACAGGACACAGCCCUGAACCUGUCCCAGUAUCUGUCCCUAACACCAUGUCCCUGUUCUCCAUUGUAGUGUUGGUAAGGUAGGACAGGACACAGCCCUGAACCUGUCCCAGUAUCUGUCCCUAACACCAUGUCC